rnacentral:rRNA from 1 species
AUGGCGUGCGCGAUCGAGACGCUGGUCGACCUCAACACUCUGGCGCUCGAGGAGCUCAUCGGGCGAUUGAAGGCCGCCGAGGAAAGGUACGAGCUGGAUGCCGCUCCUACCUGCGGCGAUGGCAGCGGCAAACUGCUUCUCAUGGAGGAGGUGUGGUUCGCGCGCCUGAAACUGCGUGAAGGAGACGGAUCGUCCGGCAUCAACGACCGUGGCCGUGGGCGCGGCCGCACACGCGGCGGCCGUGGCCAGAACGCCGGCCGCGACACCAGCAGCAGGGACAAAUCAAAGGAUAUUUGCCGCUACUACAAAUAG